rnacentral:rRNA from 1 species
CUGGCGGCGUGCUUAACACAUGCAAGUCGAACGGAAAGGCCUUGCUUUUGUGGGGUGCUCGAGUGGCGAACGGGUGAGUAACACGUGAGUAACCUGCCCUUGACUUUGGGAUAACUUCAGGAAACUGGGGCUAAUACCGGAUAGGAGCUCCUGCUGCAUGGUGGGGGUUGGAAAGUUUCGGCGGUUGGGGAUGGACUCGCGGCUUAUCAGCUUGUUGGUGGGGUAGUGGCUUACCAAGGCUUUGACGGGUAGCAGGCCUGAGAGGGUGACCGGCCACAUUGGGACUGAGAUACGGCUCAGACUCCUACGGGGGGCAGCAGUGGGGAAUAUUGCACAAUGGGCGGAAGCCUGAUGCAGCAACGCCGCGUGCGGGAUGACGGCCUUCGGGUUGUAAACCGCUUUCGCCUGUGACGAAGCGUGAGUGACGGUAAUGGGUAAAGAAGCACCGGCUAACUACGUGCCAGCAGCCGCGGUGAUACGUAGGGUGCGAGCGUUGUCCGGAUUUAUUGGGCGUAAAGGGCUCGUAGGUGGUUGAUCGCGUCGGAAGUGUAAUCUUGGGGCUUAACCCUGAGCGUGCUUUCGAUACGGGUUGACUUGAGGAAGGUAGGGGAGAAUGGAAUUUCCUGGUGGAGCGGUGGAAUGCGCAGAUAUCAGGAGGAACACCAGUGGCGAAGGCGGUUCUCUGGGCCUUUCCUGACGCUGAGGAGCGAAAGCGUGGGGAGCGAACAGGCUUAGAUACCCUGGUAGUCCACGCUGUAAACGGUGGGUACUAGGUGUGGGGUCCAUUCCACGGGUUCCGUGCCGUAGCUAACGCUUUAAGUACCCCGCCUGGGGAGUACGGCCGCAAGGCUAAAACUCAAAGGAAUUGACGGGGCCCCGCACAAGCGGCGGAGCAUGCGGAUUAAUUCGAUGCAACGCGUAGAACCUUACCUGGGUUUGACAUGGAUCGGGAGUGCUCAGAGAUGGGUGUGCCUCUUUUGGGGUCGGUUCACAGGUGGUGCAUGGCUGUCGUCAGCUCGUGUCGUGAGAUGUUGGGUUAAGUCCCGCAACGAGCGCAACCCUUGUUCACUGUUGCCAGCACGUUAUGGUGGGGACUCAGUGGAGACCGCCGGGGUCAACUCGGAGGAAGGUGGGGAUGACGUCAAGUCAUCAUGCCCCUUAUGUCCAGGGCUUCACGCAUGCUACAAUGGCUGGUACAGAGAGUGGCGAGCCUGUGAGGGUGAGCGAAUCUCGGAAAGCCGGUCUCAGUUCGGAUUGGGGUCUGCAACUCGACCUCAUGAAGUCGGAGUCGCUAGUAAUCGCAGAUCAGCAACGCUGCGGUGAAUACGUUCCCGGGGCUUGUACACACCGCCCGUCAAGUCAUGAAAGUUGGUAACACCCGAAGCCGGUGGCCUAACCGUUGUGGGGGAGCCGUCGAAGGUGGGACUGGUGAUUAGGACUAAGUA